AUUAAUUCCAUUGCUGUACCAUGUUACCUCAUAUGUAACAGCCACGAUGAAACAGUUUCUGUUGAGUUUUUGCCUGGCUGUAGGCCUUUUCAGCACGUUGUUACCUCAAACAGGUACAUAUUGCAUUACAGAUUUUGUCCUUAUUUAACCUACAACCUGAUUCUACUCCCCUCCUUUUUACCUAUUGGGCAAUAUGACUUCAAGUCUUACUGACAGACACGUCUGUACUUGCACCAAACUACCCCGAACUCGGGUUAUGGUUUGGAUCCUUGGGGAGGCUUAGCUGUGGGUGGAACCUUCCAAUAUGAUGGAUCGGCCCUGGUGGCCUAUCAGAAUGUGGUUGUGGUUGUCAUUCAGUAUCGCCUUAGCAUCCUGGGUUUCUUAAGGUAUGACCUUGACAACAUUUCACCAGUGUUACUCUACAUUUACUCCAAUUCGCAUUAAGUGCCUUAAACUCUAACUGAACUAUAGUAUGUUUUACAAUGGUGCCUUGAAUGUUAAUUUGAUGUGUCAGGUGUGCCAAAACAAUUGCAACCUUAGACAUUACAACACCAUGUGUAUUGUUUAUUUGCUUCAAGUACAGGAGACAAACAUGCAGGUGGUAACUGGGGCUUCUUGGACCAGAUUGCCAGCCUUCAGUGGGUUCGUGAUAAUAUCAUGGAUUUUGGGGGAGACCCAGACUCAGUCACCAUCUUCGGACAAUCUACCUGGGGCAUUAGUGCAUCCAUGCUGGUGUUGUGUCCAUUAGCUGAGGGCCUGUUUCCCAGAGCCAUCCCAAUGAGUGGAGUGGCACCACUAGAGGCCCAUUACGACCAACAACCCACUGGCCAAUGCCAAGAUACUCAUGAAUACCUAUGUAACACAGCAUCCAGGUCCACACCCACCCUGCCCCCAUUAAUGCUGGUACAAAACAAACCAUUGGUUACAAUAUGAAUAACAUGAUGGCCCUGACUAUGACCUAAAAUAGUAACCAGUCUUCUCUGAGAGGGUUUGUUAAUGGCAGGUGAAUUCC